rnacentral:lncRNA from 1 species
GGCAAACCACGUGCCUUUUCUUUCUUUUCUAAACUCAGGUUUGCUCCCUGGCUGCCUUAUCCUGCCACAAGUAAUUCUUGGUCUAUGCCUUUAUUUGCAUAUCAUGCUGGGACUGACUGAGAGGUCUCCUAAGGAACGCACAUUUUCCUUAGAUAUCUAUGAGGAGAAUUUGAUGACCACGACCUUAUCCUUUUCUGCUGCUUCUCUGUUGCUGCCCAUGCACAUCCCCUGAUGCACAGCAUGUAUCCCUUCAUCUUGAUCAUCACUGGAAAAGGCGAGAGUGUACAAAGUUAAACAGCAAAAAUAUAGCUGACGCUUGUCUUCUUUCUCUCUCCACAAACACAGACACGAAUUCUCUCUAGUUUCUCCAGGGGGUGAUAACAGCAAGGCUCCUUCCCUCUGGAAACAUAUACAAUUUUGCUGGAGUAAUAAAAACACCAAAGAGGAGAACCGGCAGCAGACACAGGACUGGUUUGAUUUUAUUUUCUCACCUCUGUGGAGAGCGAAGCAGUAAAAUCUUUCAAGAGGCCUGCGUCUGGGUAUCCCGCUGCUGCCUUCAGCCCCAUCUCCUGAGCAGUAGGAGUGGUGGCUUCGCAGCCUUUUCAAGUUAUUCAGAAUCAGUUUCCAGUGUGCAAAUGUUAUCUAGAAGCAUGAAGACAGCUCUGGGAAAAGAAACAGCUUUGCAUCAACAUGAGACACAGCUCAUAUUCUCUUUUACAUGAGGAUGUAACUAGCUCUGUUUUACCUGACGUGAAUGUAAAUUGAUUUUCCUCCUCGUUCCCAUGAUGAAUUAUCUUCCUCAAGCUGUGCUACUGAGUGGUCAGAAAACACAGAAAGAAUGUGUCAGGAGCUUGAAGAAGAAGCAAAACAAUGGCAAUGUGAACAGAACAUGUGGAAAAAUCAGAACACAAGAAGGAGAAAAGGAG